UCUUUUUCAUCACUCAACGUGAAUGUAGGAACAAUGUAUGUUUUGAGCUUUUCUCUCCAUAUCUUUUGUGUUUCGUAACACUAUAACGUUAUUAUUACAUUUCUUAACUGAAAUGAGUCGCAAGUUGUUAUAUAUAAAGGUGAACAAAUCACUUUCAUAAAAGAGGUUAUCCUCAACGUGAAGAUAUUGUUAAUUACAACAUUUUUUAAAUAUAUCUACGAAUGUAUACUUCGACUUUAGCAAUAGAAUGUCUAACGAAAAACCUUGUCGUGCAUGUAUGGAUUUUAAAUCAUGGGCAAAAAGUCAAAGAAAGACUUUGGAAUCCGAAAAGGAAUCUGAGGAAAAGAAGAAGAAAAGUCCAUCUGUAAAUAAAAUUAAACGUAAUGAUUGUCCAUUAGAUAAAGAUGAAUUAGGUUCAGUAACAUGGUCAUUUUUACAUACUAUGGCAGCAUAUUAUCCUAAUAAUCCAAGUGAAGAACAAAAGUCAGAUAUGAAACAGUUUUUUCAUAUAUUUUCUAAGUUUUAUCCUUGCAAUGUAUGUGCAGAAGAUUUACAGGAACAAUUAAAACAUUCCCCACCAGAAACUAAUUCACAGGAACAGUUGAGCCAAUGGCUUUGUAAAAUACAUAAUGAGGUAAAUAGAAAACUUGGAAAACCAGAAUUUGAUUGUAAACUUGUUGAUCAAAAAUGGAAAUAUGGUUGGCUUGAUGGUUCAUGUGAUUGAUGAUCACUAAUUAUAGUUGUGUAAAUUUUGUAAUGAAAGCUAUAUGUGAUAUAAAACAUCAUGUAUAUGCUUAUUAUUAAGAUUGUAAAAUAGAUGGUGUUAAAUGUGAAAUAGUGAAUGCAGAACUUGCUGUUCUAAUAUUGGGUUCAUAACUGUGAUCUUGUCCUUCACCACCAAUUGGCAUAACUUGACAUGUUCUGAUAUGAAAUGGAAAACGUUUAUUAGCCAUAGAUGGCCUAGUGAUAUAUAAAAAUACUAUAUGUCCCAUAAAAACAGUCCAUAAUGAACAGCCUUUAGCAACACUCUCUCUUACCCAUUCAUCUACUAAUAAAGUAAUGCAGAGUACCUAUAAAAUCAUAAAUAUGCUUUUACAUAUUGAAGAAUAAAUAAAUUCUUUACAUUUUAUUACAUAAUAUUUUGUUAUGUAUAGAAUCAAAUGUAUAUUUUUAUGUACCGUUAAUGGAUGACAUAAAAACCAUGCUGAUCCCAAUGAAAAUAAUGAACCAUAAAAGUGAAGUUUUGUUGACAUUUUUCUAACAGUCUUAAAACAACGAAGAGAAAAUAUAAUCCAAGCAAUCAACUUUAAUAUUAUUAAUCCAUAACCUGGUGGUGACUCAUAAAUAUACAAUACCAAUCCAGGAUCAAAGAUAUCAGAUUGAUAAAUAUAUAAUGAAAAUUGACAAAAUGAAAUCAAGCAAAUAAAACAUAUGAGCCAUCGAAUUUGUUUUGAUGUUAAAACACUUUUAGUUACUGUAAAACCAAGUGCUAGUAAUAACAUAAGUACAGUAUAUAAAAUAUCUGAACAUGCUUCUAGGAGUUGACCAAAUAAAGAAGCACUUUCUAUUGAUAUUCCUCUCAAACCAAGAUUUAUAUAACUAUAAAUUUCAAAUAAUACUCCCAUUAAUUGACAAAGUAAUGAAGCCAUAAAUAUUUUAUAAGAUAUAUGUAAUAAUCUUCUUGCUCUUAGUUGCAUAGCUAAAUAAAAACUUAAUAUUACAAGUAUCACAUAAAUAAAAGCAAUAAUUAAUAAUUCUGGCAGUAUAUCUGAAAAAAAUGGAUUUAAGUAAAUAAUAUUAAAUAAUUUUAAAUUAAGAGAAUGUUACUUACAAAAUUCAUCUGCUGAAAAGUGUUCUUUCCAGAAAUUCUCAUGUGGUGCAUUUGUUAAUGAUAUCCAAUACGAGAUAUUUAAUCCGCUUUUUGAAGAACAAUCUGCUAAGGCAAUGAACCACCAUCUUGGACGAGAUGAUCGAAAUCUACGAUUACUGGAACAUCGUAUUACAGCAUCUUUUUCGAUGCAUCCCGAUUCUUCAAAUGUUACUGUAGAUAGUGGUAUUAUUUGACCAAUUCCAUGCCAAAGUAUAGAUUCUUUUUCAAUGCAUGUUUUGUUCGAAGGAUAAAUACUUGGCCAUUGAUCAGGUGCAUCAUAAUAUAAUAAUAUUUUUAAAUCUUUUUCUUUGCCUCCUAAUUCAAAUUUAUAUCGAAAUAUACCUUGUUCCGUUAAGAAGCAAAAUCUUGCUAAAAAUGCCCAAUUCUAAAAAGAGAAUUAUUUUUUAUAGUAUAAUGGAAAAUUUUAUUGUUUUUUAUCAAAAUAAUAGCAUAUUUUUUAUAUUUACAAUAUAUUUGGGAAGUGAAAAUAAAUCCGUAAUUUUUUAAAUGAUACAGAACCUAUAUAAAAAUAAACAUCAUCGUGCGUGUUAAAGACAUCGUAUAUGAUGUAAAUAAUAAUAUAAAUAAUUUAUAAAGAGGACAUCAAUAUUUCAAACGAAAAAUUAAUCUUUAUACACUUAAAUUACACUGAAUGUGCAAUAUAGCCUCAAUGCGAAAUAUAUUUUUAUAUUGCAAAUAUAA